CCCCAGUUGCCCCCAGUUGCUCCCAGUUGCCCCCGUACCGGUGAGGAUGGACUGGUCGACGCGCAGGGUCGUGGACUUGAUGGAGAGGAUGCGGAUGUCGGCUGGAACCUUGUCCCCCACUGCGGGCAGCCGUCGUUACUGGGAGGGACUGGGAGCACUGGGAGGGGCUGAGAGGGGGCUGGGGGGGGACUGGGAGGGGCCGAGGGGGGGCCGGGGGGGCUCUGGGGGUGACUGGGGAGUUACUGGGAGGCUACUGGGAUGCAUUAAGGCUUACUGGGAAGCUACUGGGAUGCAUUAAGGGUUACUGGGAUGCACUAAAGCUUACUGGGAGGUUACUGGGAUGCACUACGGCUUACUGGGAUGCACGAAUUCUUACUGGGAAGUUACUGGGAUGCCCUUGGGGAUUACUUGGGGGUUAUGGGGAAGCUCUGGGGGUGACUGGGAGGUUACUGGGAUGCAUUAAGGCUUACUGGGAUGCACUAAGGCUUACUGGGAUGCACUAAUUCUUACUGGGAGGUUACUGGGAUGCACUAAGGCUUACUGGGAAGUUACUGGGAUGUAUGUGGGAGUUACUGGGGGGUCACAGGGAAGCCCUGGGGGUGACUGGGGAGUUCCUGGGAGGUUCCUGGGAUGCAUUAAGUGUUACUGGGAUGCACUAAAGCUUACUGGGAUGCACUAAAGUUUACUGGGAAGUUACUGGGAUGCCCUUGGAGAUUACUCGGGGGUUACGGGGAAGCUCUGGGGGUGACUGGGGAGUUACUGGGAGGCUACUGGGAUGCACUAAAGCUUACUGGGAUGCACUAAAGCUUACUGG
rnacentral:lncRNA from 1 species